GGAGCUCCCUGGAGCUACAAAUAGGAGCCUGAUCAGGAGCCCCAGACAUGAGCCUCCGGAAGACUCAGCUGGCAUCUGCCACUCCCAGAGACGAUGGGGAAAGUCGUCUUCUCCCUGCUCCUCGCCCUGCCUCUGGUGACCCUCGGGGCCUCUGCAGAUAAAAAGUGUGUCCUGUCUGGAUCGUGGAGGAAUGAGCUGGGCUCUAACAUGACCAUCUCUGCCGUGAACGCCGAAGGGGGAUUCACUGGUUCAUACUUGACAGCAGUGACGGCCACCAACAAACGCAUCCUGGUGUCACCCCUGAAGGGGUCCCAGAACAGCAAGAGCCAGAGGAAGCAGCCGACCUUUGGCUUCACCGUGAGCUGGACUUUCUCAAACUCAGUGACCGUCUUUGUGGGCCAGUGCUUCAUGGAUGAUAACGGGGAGGAGAGUCUGAAGACCAUGUGGCUGCUGCGCCAGGAGGUCGGAUCCCCCGGCGCCGACUGGAAAGCGACCAGGGUGGGCACAAACGUUUUCACCCGGAUCAAGUGAUUGAACGUGGGUGAAUCUGUGAGGAACGAUGGUGCCCGGUGACCCAGCAGCACCAUUACCCCACUCUGCAGCCCCAGGGCUCCUGGUUCCCACCGUCUGGAAUCGUUCUGGGCUCUCUCGAGAGCGUCUCGCCCGGUGUCAGGGCUGUUUGCUGGGCUGCAGAGGCGACGUCUCUGUCUCCAUCUCCAUCUCCCCUCGCUCUCCGGUUACCCCUCCCCCCAGAGUCGCUGCCUGUGGCCCUGAUGCUGCAGUUAAGUUCCUUUCCCAGUAAAGCUCUAGCACGAGAGGCAAAUGAGUCUCUGGUGUUUUUGAGUAGCAGCUGUGUUAAUCUGUAUCCGCAAAAAGAACAGAAGUACUUGUGGCAUCUUAGAGACUAACAAAUUUAUUUCAGCAUGAGCUUUCGUGAGCUACAGCUCACUUCAUCGGAUGCAUAGAAUGGAACACACAGACAGGAGAUAUUUAUACAUACAGAGAACAUGAAAAGGUGGAAGUACGCCUACCAACAGGAAGAGUCUAAUCAACUGAGAUGAGCUAUCUUCAGCAGGUGUUUUUAUCGCUCUUGGCUCUUGAGCUGAAGCUGUUGCUGAGCCGUGAUUCCCACCUGCCCCUCCCUGGAUUCCCUGGGAGGUGCUGGAUUCUCUCCCAUGAGCCAGGCCCUUCCUGGGACGCCCCUUGGUAGGUUCAUCCCCCUGGUUCGCUCCUUUGCUCACUGGACACUCAAUAACAGAUUUAGAAGUAGCCAUUUUUCAACAAAAAAACUUCAGAAACAGACUUCAAAUAGAAACUGCAGAGGCACAAUUCAUUGGCAAACUUAACACCAUCAAUUUGAGCUUGAAUAGGACUGGAAGUGGCUGGCUCACUACAAAAGCAAUUUUCCCUCUCUUGGUGUUGACACCUCUUCAUCAGUUAUUGGGAGUAGACCACAUCCACCCUGACUGAAUUGGCCUUCAGCAUUCCUUCUCCACUGGUAAGGUAACUCCCUUCUCUUCACGUGUCAGUGUAUUUAUGCCCGUUUCUGUCAUUUUCACUCCAUGUAUCUGAAGAAGUGGGGGUUUUACCCAUGAAAGCUUAUGCCCAAAUAAAUCUGUUAGUCUUUAAGGUGCCAUGGACUCCUCGUUGUUUUUGUGGAUACAGACUAACACAGCUACCCCCCGAUACUCCUUUGCUCACUGACCAUCACUCUGCCCAGAGGCAGCUGCUAUCAGCCUGGACUCAGUUCAGCCUCGACUUCCCUGGUGCUCUGAUCUGGGAGCCCCCAGGCGUCCCUGUUACCCCAACUCUCACCAAUUUUGCUACUGAAAUUUCCAACUCUGAGGCAGAAACUGAGGGAACAUCUAGACCUGCCUCAGUGGCCAGGUCAGAAAGGGGUCAGGCUGCGUCACGCAGCACCGACAAACACCCAGGAGACUGGGGCACCCCAGUCAUAACCUGUCAUAAACAGAUAGCUAAGGGUUAAUGUCUCUUACACCUGGAAAGAGGUAACCUGAAGCACCUGACCAGAGGACCAAUCAGGAAACCAGAUUUUUUCAGGUCUGGGUGGAGGGAAGUUUGUGUCUGAGUUCUUUGUCUUCUGCCUGUCUCUCUCUCGGCUAUGGGAGGAUUUCUGUCUCUUGCUUUCUAAUCUUCUGUUUCCAAGUUGUAAGUACAAAUAUAGUAAGGCAGUAAGGUUUCUAUUGUUUUUCUUUUGUAUUUACAUGUGUGUAGUUGCUGGAAUGUUUUGAAUUGUAUUCUUUUUGAAUAAGGCUGUUUAUUCAUAGUUCUUUUAAGCAAAUGACCCUGUAUUUGUCACCUUAAUACAGAGAGACCAUUUUUAUGUAUUUUUUUUUCUUUUUACAUAAAGCUUUCUCUUUAA